rnacentral:rRNA from 1 species
AUACGUAGGGAGCGAGCGUUGUCCGGAAUUACUGGGCGUAAAGGGCGCGUAGGCCGUGUUAUAAGUUAGUUGUAAAACGUGUGGGCUUAACCCGCAUUCGCAACUAAAACUGUAACGCUAGAGGCAUAGAGAGGCAGACGGAAUUCCUGGUGUAGCGGUGAAAUGCGUAGAUAUCAGGAAGAACACCGGUGGCGAAGGCGGUCUGCUGGCUAUGAACUGACGCUGAAGCGCGAAAGCCAGGGGAGCAAACGGGAUUAGAUACCCCGGUAGCCCUGGCAGUAAACGAUGUAUGCUGGGUGUGGGCGUAGCGAUACGUCCGUGCCGAAGUUAACGCGAUAAGCAUACCGCCUGGGGAGUACGGUCGCAAGAUUGAAACUCAAAGGAAUUGACGGGG